GUAGGGGUGUGGACUUUCCAAAACUCGAUCCUGAUUGGCGAGAGUGGUUGCUAUAGAAACAUUGACCUCAGACAGACUCGAAUCAAUCACUGCUUACGGAUGAUCUCUGGAUCCAACAGUGUCCAAAAUUCAACAGCUGAAAUUAGACAUCUUUUUUGGACUAGCAGCAGAGUGAACAUGAAGAAGCUUCUCCUGUCAGCUGGUGAACUUUAGUCUGUUCUGGAUCAAGCUUGACUCACCCGAUGUCGCUCUGGCGAUGACGCUCUGGCGAUGACACUCUGGCGAUGCACUACAGCAACAUUAAGAAAAAGGGAAAGUGAAUUAUCAAGACAACCCAGCCAAGUGAUGCGCCAAAGGGUUCAGGAUAAAACGAGUAACGAAUUCAGCCCCGCCCCUUUUUUUCCGGAAUUGUUCUUUCAAGUUCAAAAGAUGAAAUAAAGGUGAUUCGUGGCUCCUGUCCUCCAACUGAG